AGCUUUAAGCAGUGAUAGUAUCAUAGCCAAUGAGGUUUAUGCAAGGCACAGUUAUUGCUAAUUGAAUAUUUUUUUACAAGAACCCCAUCAUGAUGACUUCAGUAUAGUUGGCACUGGCAAUUUUUAACAGUUUCUACAGAGA
ensembl:snRNA U4 U4 spliceosomal RNA